GGGAGGGGAUGAGAAGUGGAAGGAGGAGUAGGAGAAGUAUUGGGCUUCUGACGAUGACUGUACAGACAAGGGGGUAGAAAAAGAGGAAGAGAAAAGGAAAAGGACACAGAAGGAUAUAGAAAGCAAAUAAGAAAAGAAAAGAAUCCAUAUUGAUAGGUGACGACGAGAAAUUUCCAUGUAACUACAAGAUGCAGUAGAAAACAUUAACGAUAACUUAUUAAUGUUUCUGGUUUCAAGUAUCAGCAAAGGAGACGCAGAAAUAAGAAGAAACGGCAGACAUAUUGUCUUGUAAUGACAACUGAGUGUCAUACUUAGGAAAAUCCCCAAUUCUGAUGAAGUCAUUCUACUGGGUAAUUUUAAUGCCAGUGUUGGAACAGAGAAGCAAACAUGGAACUCUUUAGGACGUUUUGGUGUAGGAAAAUGAAAACCAAUGAUCGCAUGCUACUGGAGCUUUGCGAUGAACAUGGACUUUACAUCAAAUUAACGGAUACAGUUUGUGUCAAAUGAUGAAAACUGCCAAUAAAUGAGCAAAAAUAAUGUGAAAAUAAAAUAAAUUAAUCCUUAAAUCAAAGAUUGUAAUACCAAAAUGGUGGAAUGGAUAAGGUGUUGAAUGAAAAGAAAAAAAAAAGAAAAGAAACACAAAUGAUUUGAAGAUAUUGUUUUUUAGUCUCUGGGCGCCGUGUUUAUUAUGGCCUGUUUUGUGACAAUAUGAACGGCAAGCCAUCAAAAUUGAGAUUUACGUCUCAUCAGCUUAAAUAUCAUGAAAUCUGAACUAAGACUUAGGCUUUAUGAUCUCUCUCACUCACUCUCUUUCCUUCUCUCUCUCUUUCCUUCUCUCUCUCUUUCUGUAUCCUACAUACACACAAACACACACACAUACACUAUCUCUUUUCUCUUCUUCCAGCAAGUCCUCUGAGGCAUUUAUAUUUUAUGUUACAUUAGUUUAUAUAGAUAAUUAUAUAGCCUGAUUAUAGACCAUAAUCGAUAAAAAUUCCGUUAAAGAACAAGUGCAAGUCUGCGUUGGCAACAACCAACAUAAUAAAAACAAAAGUCAACCAUGAUCAGCUAUUUCAGUAGAAAAUAUAUCUAGCGUUUAUAAGAAAGCUAUUCAUCUUCUCGUAGCAACCGAUAAUACCUAGCCCUUUAUUUUAUUUUAUUUUUUUCUAACUCUGAUUAUAUACACCAGUCUUUUAGGAGACUGUAAAUAUUGGUUGAUAUUUCCUACAAAGAAUUAGUAUUUAGGAAAAAUAUUUGUAGCCGUCUCGUAUAAAAGUCUGAUGUUAGAGAUAACUCUUCUGCAAGGAAUGACUUUAUUGUUUAAACAAGUGAAUCGUAUGUUUAAGUUGAUACGCGCGAAGUACUUAUUCGACUUAAAAUGUUUUAAACUGCAAGGAAACGAUAUCUUAUGGCAAACGGUAGAAUAUUUAUAUGACAUGAGCAUUCCUUUUUAUUAUUAUCACAUACCAUGUACGUCGCUGAACUUAGAAUCAUUCCGAUUUUUAUAACCACUAGUUGUCUGCCCACCAUUUGAAAUAUUCCAAUAACGUUCUUAUCUGUACAGUACGAGGUUUAAACAAGCUCAGUAAUAAAAAUACGAUAUGUACAAG